UGGUUCCAUGUUUUUGGUAUUGGAAAGCAAUCAAUUGGAUUCAGUGUUCGAAUUGAGGUGAAGACAAGAUCUAGGAUUUCGGAAGUGAUAGUGGGUCCUCAAAAUAGAACAGUGACAUCCAAGGAUAAUUUUCUGAGGGUUAAUCUUAUUGGAGAUUUUGUUGGUUACUCAAGUGUUCCUUCUUUUGAAGACUUCUACCUCGUCAUUCAAAGACAGUUAGCACAAUGGUAAUGGUGUUGAUGGGAAAGGAAUGCAUCUUGGUUUGAAACCUUUUGUCAUGUCCACCAAUACAAAAAAGCUUGCUUGCUGCUGCUGGGUGAGCCUGGUCAACCACAAGA
rnacentral:misc_RNA from 1 species